UUGGUUGGAAAUAUGCCAGUCCCUUGUGUUCCAAACUUAAGAGGAUACGUAAUUUAAAACCUCACCCCAGAAAAAGAGAAUUAUAAUAACCUGCCACCAGUCAGGCUAUUGAAACAAUUUGCCUAUCUGGGAAGCUCUUUUUUCCAAAGAAGGAAAAAGAGAGAAGGCGAGAAAGGAAUACUACAGGCAGUCCUCAAGUUACGACCCCAAUUGAGCCCAACGUGUAUGCCGUUCAGUGAGAAACUUGUUAAGUGAGUUUUUUGCUCCAUUUUACGACCUUUCUUGCCGCCGUUGUUAAGUGAAUCGCCGCAGUUAUUGAAUGAAUCACACGGUUGUUAAGUGAAUCCUGCUGACAUUGCUUGUCAGAAGGUGGGGAUCGGGUGACACCAGGACACUGCGACCGUCAUAAGUGUGAAUCAGUUAUGAAGCAUCCGAAUGUAAAAUCACAUGAUCCUGGGGAGGCUACCACAGUCAAAUGACGCAGUGUUUUGCAUGGCAAUUCCAAAGCAGAGAGGAAACCGUGGGAGUGAAGGCGCGAAGAAGGAAGAGAGAGAGGGAGCCCUGAAGUUAAGUGGCAAGGUGCCCGUAGGUAUGAUUCCCAAAACGCAGCAGAUCCAAUCUGCACACACCUCCUUUGGGGCCACCAGGUGGUAGCAGAGAGACGCCGAAAUCUCCUCACCCUCUCCUGCCCCCUGGAGGUCAAUCCAGAUUUGCUCCGUUGUACAAAAUCCAGCGGUGACUCACCAAAAUGGAUGAGGCAAAAGGUCAGAAGAAGGAAAUAAACAUGUAAAAACUGUGUGGGCGGUGUGUACAUAACAAGAGAGAGAGCCUGGCCCCAGUCCGAAGUGUGAUGGCGACAACAUGUCAAAAAAGAGAGGAAGUCUCGCGGGGCAGCAACCACUUGUAACUUGGACUGCUCUAGAACAACAACAACAAAAAAAAAAAAACGAGGAUAAAUAUGUUGAGUUUAUUCUACUCCUACUCCUCUCUCUCUCUCUCUCUCUCUUCUUUUAUAGGCAUGCUUUUCGUUCAUUUUCUUGCGUUUUUCCAAGCCAGCUUUCCAGAUCAGAGAUUUCUCGCAGU